UACGGAGGGGGCUAGCGUUGUUCGGAAUUACUGGGCGUAAAGCGCGCGUAGGCGGGCUGUUAAGUCGGGGGUGAAAUCCCGGGGCUCAACCCCGGAACUGCCUUCGAGACUGGCAGUCUAGAGGAAGGCAGAGGCUAGUGGAAUGGCGAGUGUAGAGGUGAAAUUCGUAGAUAUUCGCCGGAACACCAGUGGCGAAGGCGACUGGCUGGGCCUUUUCUGACGCUGAGGUGCGAAAGCGUCGGGAGCAAACAGG
rnacentral:rRNA from 1 species